GAUUAGCUAGUUGGUGAGGUAAAGGCUUACCAAGGCUUCGAUCAGUAGCUGGUCUGAGAGGACGACCAGCCACACUGGGACUGAGACACGGCCCAGACUCCUACGGGAGGCAGCAGUGGGGAAUUUUGGACAAUGGGGGAAACCCUGAUCCAGCCAUGCCGCGUGAGUGAAGAAGGCCUUCGGGUUGUAAAGCUCUUUCAGCCGGAACGAAAAGGUUACGGUUAAUACCCGUGACUAAUGACGGUACCGGAAGAAGAAGCACCGGCUAACUACGUGCCAGCAGCCGCGGUAAUACGUAGGGUGCGAGCGUUAAUCGGAAUUACUGGGCGUAAAGCGUGCGCAGGCGGUUUUGUAAGUCAGAUGUGAAAU
rnacentral:rRNA from 1 species